CCUACGGGCGGCUGCAGUCGAGAAUCAUUCACAAUGGGGGAAACCCUGAUGGUGCGACGCCGCGUGGGGGAAUGAAGGUCUUCGGAUUGUAAACCCCUGUCAUGUGGGAGCAAAUUAAAAAGAUAGUACCACAAGAGGAAGAGACGGCUAACUCUGUGCCAGCAGCCGCGGUAAUACAGAGGUCUCAAGCGUUGUUCGGAAUCACUGGGCGUAAAGCGUGCGUAGGCUGUUUCGUAAGCCGUGUGUGAAAGGCGCGGGCUCAACCCGCGGACGGCACAUGAUACUGCGAGAAUAGAGUAAUGGAGGGGGAACCGGAAUGCUCGGUGUAGCAGUGAAAUGCGGAGAUAUCGAGAGGAACACUCGGGGCGAAGGCGGGUUCCUGGACAUUAACUGACGCUGAGGCACGAAGGCCAGGGGAGCGAAAGGGAUUAGAUACCCGUGUAGUC
rnacentral:rRNA from 1 species